GGCCUAACACAUGCAAGUCGAGCGGCAGCACAGAGGAACUUGUUCCUUGGGUGGCGAGCGGCGGACGGGUGAGUAAUGCCUGGGAAAUUGCCCUGAUGUGGGGGAUAACCAUUGGAAACGAUGGCUAAUACCGCAUGAUGCCUACGGGCCAAAGAGGGGGACCUUCGGGCCUCUCGCGUCAGGAUAUGCCCAGGUGGGAUUAGCUAGUUGGUGAGGUAAUGGCUCACCAAGGCGACGAUCCCUAGCUGGUCUGAGAGGAUGAUCAGCCACACUGGAACUGAGACACGGUCCAGACUCCUACGGGAGGCAGCAGUGGGGAAUAUUGCACAAUGGGCGCAAGCCUGAUGCAGCCAUGCCGCGUGUAUGAAGAAGGCCUUCGGGUUGUAAAGUACUUUCAGUCGUGAGGAAGGUUGUAGUGUGAAUAGCACUAUGAUUUGACGUUAGCGACAGAAGAAGCACCGGCUAACUCCGUGCCAGCAGCCGCGGUAAUACGGAGGGUGCGAGCGUUAAUCGGAAUUACUGGGCGUAAAGCGCAUGCAGGUGGUUUGUUAAGUCAGAUGUGAAAGCCCUGGGCUCAACCUAGGAGUUGCAUUUGAAACUGACAAGCUAGAGUACUGUAGAGGGGGGUA
rnacentral:rRNA from 1 species